AUCAUGUGUUUGUACCAAAACUCGACAAAAUAACUUUUUUUUGCAAAAGUCAAAAAAGUGAAACUUUACUCCAACGCAUGAUAUCGGUAUCAUGUGUUUGUACAAAAACUCGA